GACAAACGCUGGCGGGGUGCAUGAGACAUGCAAGUCGAACGAGGUGCCAUCGGGCUUGCUCGAUGGCUACCUAGUGGCGGACGGCUGAGUAACGCGUAGGUGACCUACCCGGAAGUGGGGAAUAACUGCCCGAAAGGGUGGCUAAUACCGCAUGUGGUCGGCGAUUCGAUUCGCCGUCUAAAGGAACAAUUCGCUUCCGGAGGGGCCUGCGUCCGAUUAGCUAGUUGGUGGGGUAACGGCNCACCAAGGCGACGAUCGGUAGCUGGUCUGAGAGGAUGAUCAGCCAGACUGGGACUGAGAACGGCCCAGACUCCUACGGGAGCAGCAGUCGGAAUUUUGUCCCAACUGGACGAAAGUACUGAGGCAGCAACUCCGCGUGAGGGA
rnacentral:rRNA from 1 species